AGCUGAGAACCUGUUAACCAGGAGGAAGAGGAGUUGAGAGGUUCAGGGAGGAGCUGAGAUGUUACUGAACUCUAGAAGAAACUCAAACUUCCUCAUUCAACACAGUUCAACACAUAAACAUCAACUCUGCUCAACAUGAACUAUUAUGGACUUUCUCUGCUCAUCGCCUCACUUCUAACAGGAGUUACUUGUCAACAUCUCACUACACUUCAGAAUGAAGAGUUCAGUUUGGAAGGCAGCUCAGUUACUCUGUUCUACAAAUACUCCAAACAAGCAGCUGGGGAUGAUUAUUUCUUCUGGUACCGCCAAUAUCCAGGAAAACCUCCAGCGUUCCUGAUCUCUCAUUUAGGGACAGGAGCAGAAACAUCUCAGCCAGUUCCUGGUCUGACCUUUAAAGUUAGAGAUGAUAAAACUCACUUGGACCUGCUGAUCUCCUCUGCUGCAGUGACAGAUUCUGCUGUGUACUACUGUGCUGUGAAGCCCACAGUGACAGGAAACACCAGAACUCUGUACAAGAACCUGCAAUACUCCACAACAUCCACUAGAGGACCUCACACACUGUUCUUCUACAGGUUAUUAGGAUUCAGACUGUUUUUAUGGUGA